UUGGAGGGCAAGUCUGGUGCCAGCAGCCGCGGUAAUUCCAGCUCCAAUAGCGUAUAUUAAAGUUGUUGCAGUUAAAAAGCUCGUAGUUGAAUUUCGGGAUCAAUAUAUCGGUCGUGCCUUGGUACGUACUGGUAUCAUUGGUUUCUCCUUUCUGACGAACCAUGAUGUCAUUAAUUUGGUGUUAUGGGAAGUUAGGACUGUUACUUUGAAAAAAUUAGAGUGUUUAAAGCAGGCUUUAGCUUGAAUACAUUAGCAUGGAAUAAUGAAAUAGGACGUUCGAACCUAUUUUGUUGGUUUCUAGGAUCAACGUAAUGAUUAAUAGGGAUAGUUGGGGGCAUUAGUAUUCAAUUGUCAGAGGUGAAAUUCUUGGAUUUAUUGAAGACUAACUACUGCGAAAGCAUUUGCCAAGGAUGUUUUCAUUAAUCAAGAACGAAAGUUAGGGGAUCGAAGACGAUCAGAUACCGUCGUAGUCUUAACCAUAAACUAUGCCGACUAGGGAUCGGAUGAUGUUAAUUUUUUAAUGACUCAUUCGGCGCCUUACGGGAAAC
rnacentral:rRNA from 2 species